GACGAACGCUGGCGGCGUGCUUAACACAUGCAAGUCGAACGGAAAGGCUCCAGCUUGCUGGAGUACUCGAGUGGCGAACGGGUGAGUAACACGUGGGUAAUCUGCCCUGCACUCUGGGAUAAGCCUGGGAAACUGGGUCUAAUACUGGAUAUGACCUUUCUCCUUAUGGGGUUUGGUGGAAAGUUUUUCGGUGUAGGAUGAGCCCGCGGCCUAUCAGCUUGUUGGUGGGGUGAUGGCCUACCAAGGCGACGACGGGUAGCCGGCCUGAGAGGGUGAUCGGCGACAUUGGGACUGAGAUACGGCCCAGUCUCCUACGGGAGGCAGCAGUGGGGAAUAUUGCACAAUGGGCGGAAGCCUGAUGCAGCGACGCCGCGUGAGGGAUGACGGCCUUCGGGUUGUAAACCUCUUUCAGCAGGGACGAAGCGUAAGUGACGGUACCUGCAGAAGAAGCACCGGCUAACUAUGUG
rnacentral:rRNA from 1 species